GUGCCAGACUCCUACGGGAGGCAGCAGUGGGGAAUAUUGCACAAUGGGGGAAACCCUGAUGCAGCAACGCCGCGUGAGUGAAGAAGUAUUUCGAUAUGUAAAGCUCUAUCAGCAGGGAAGAAGAUGACGGUACCUGAGUAAGAAGCCCCGGCUAACUACGUGCCAGCAGCCGCGGUAAUACGUAGGGGGCAAGCGUUAUCCGGAUUCACUGGGUGUAAAGGGAGCGUAGACGGCCAGGCAAGCCUGGAGUGAAAGCCCGGGGCCCAACCCCGGGACUGCUCUGGGAACUGUCCGGCUGGAGUGCGGGAGGGGCAGGCGGAAUUCCUGGUGUAGCGGUGAAAUGCGUAGAUAUCAGGAGGAACACCGGCGGCGAAGGCGGCCUGCUGGACCGCGACUGACGUUGAGGCUCGAAAGCGUGGGGAGCAAACAGGAUUAGAUACCCGAGUA
rnacentral:rRNA from 1 species